UGUCACAGUCAGCAUAUUAUGUCGUAAAUUGAGUUUAACUAUUUCAUAUCCUUUCAGUCAGCAAUAAUAUUUAUAAACCUUAUAAAUGCAUAAAAUACAUAUGAACAAGUUAACUAUUUAAUAUUCUUACACAGGCUACGGAAUCGUCAGAGCAGCAUACAACUGCCUUUCUGGUCCAAAGAUGACCCAGAGUGAGGGAGGCCACAACAAAAGGGUAGCUCUCCAACAAAGUAGAGGUCUCUCCAAAGGUCGGCAAGGCAUCCGACUCAGUGGGCUAGGCAUCCUUAAUGAGUGGUUGCCGAAAAAGGCUGCAAACCCUGUGUGUGCUGGUGCAUCUGUGUGAAUUGAAAGUGAGUGUUUGAAAGUGGGGGAAUGACCGAAGAGAUCCCAAUCCAUGCAGCUGAAAAACUACUACAAUUGUGUAAAACUGCCCUGGCUGGAUCGGCCAAAUGGGUGGGCAGGGGUUGGUACCCUCCAAUUGUAUG